CAAGCCACCCUCCAGUUAAGCCUCCCACUUCACCACCAGUUAAGCCUCCCAGCCACCCUCCAGUUAAGCCUCCCUCUUCGCCACCAGUCAAGCCUCCCAUUCCACCAGUCAAGCCUCCCACUCCACCACCAGUCAAGCCUCCCACUUCACCACCAGUCAAGCCUCCUACUCCACCAGUUAAGCCUCCCACUCCACCAGUCAAGCCUCCCACUCCACCGCCUGUUAAGCCUCCGAGCCACCCACCGGUGAAACCUCCUAGUCCCCUACCCAUCAGGAAGGCUGUGGCUGUUCAAGGUGUUGUAUAUUGCAAGUCCUGCAAGUACAGAGGGGUUGGAACCCUCAUUGGAGCCUCUCCACUUGCCG
rnacentral:lncRNA from 1 species